CUAACCUUCGCGGGUCGCUGCAAAUUCAGCGAAUGGGUGUGGUAGCCCAGUUC
rnacentral:ncRNA from 1 species